UAGCUCUAGCAUUACUGGGAUUGGACCCACGCGUCAGUCCAAGCACCUCUGUCCUCAAUCUCCGUCCCGGAGCUCUCUCCCCCGUCCAGCAGUCGAUGCCCACCUCGCGCGACCACGCAUCAUCGCCGGCCGCCGUCCCUACCGCAUCUCCCUGAGCUAGCAGCCUCCUUCCUCUGGCCCAAGUUGCUCACAGCCUCCUUCCUCUGGCACACGAACGCACGCACGCUGGCCCAAGCACCCAGGCUGUGCGUAGCCGGGAGGAAGCAGGACGCGGCCGGCCAAGGUCGGCGGCUGGAGCGUGCCGGCCCAGCCAUGGCGUCCAGCGACCGAGAUGGCCGCUGGCGGUCAGUGAUCUGACCAGAUCCGAGCUCUUCGGACUGGCGGCGGCGCGCUGAAGGCUGGGGCACACCAGGUGUUCGAUCAAAUGCGUGCCCUUGGAGAUGCGCUAACCAAUCUUGUUUUUAGCCAUGGCUCCGUCAGCAUCGAGUAUGGUGACGGCGGCGCUUCCCAAGGAAAAUCAAAAUAUAUAUGCUAUGUUUCUUAGGUACCUGUAUAUAUAUAUAUAUAUAUAUAUAUAUAUAUAUGCAAUUGUGCAUCGGUGGCUUGCUGCACGGCGAAGAGAUGGCAGAUACAAUAGCUGCUGUGGAGUACUUACUGAGGUAGCCUUUGGGGAUCAGACGCCUCUCCGGGUCUGGCGGAUGUGGCCGUUCAAGCACCCUACUGUAUACCGGCCGGCUGCGCCGAACCAGCCGGUGGCUAUUGCUCCGUCUCUGGGCUCUGGGUACCAUUCCGGACUGGCCUGCCGGUCCAGUUGUCCCUGAUCCGAACUGCUCUGGGGAGGCACCUCUCAGUGCAUCCCGGGUGAGUGGAAGCGCAGGCGGCGCCAUCCAGUUUACCCAAUGAAGUGUUGUCAUUGCAAACCUUGUACCUCCACUCGAGGCGGCAAUCAGGGGUUUUCCUCGAGGAGCAAAUUCUGCAAUCUGUACUCAUGGGAGAAUGUUUUCGGUAUCAGGAAAGUGUCACCAAAACGUCCCAGGGAUUGCUUGCAGUUGUGCAGGCAAGCCGGACAGCGAGAACAAGUUCAUCCGCUAGAACAAAGUGCCCUGCGAUGCUAAGCCUGUUAAGGACGGAAGAUGGAGGCUGGUAUGGUAUUUAUGUGCGCACAGGGUGUUGCAUAACCAUGAACUCCUCGGAACUUGUAGUCCACGUGGGGUUCCUAAUCUUGAAGUCAGAAGUGCCUUCACGACCGGAGCAAGCGCCACCCGGACCAGACUGGUAUUUCACUUGAGAUGGUGUUGUGAUGACCUCCUGAAGUAUGGAUCCGCCCGCUUCUGUAUUUCGAUGGCAAUGGUUAUGCGGAUUGCGGAACAUGUGUUUUCCGUAACUGUGCACACGCUACAAUAUUUUCGAAGUAUUGGUUUGCACAAAUACUACAAGAUUGCACAUCCCUUCACCCAGAAGAAAGUUCCCCUACAGAAAAAUGCGAAAGGGAAACUCGACGAGGCAUGAAUCACAUACCUUGUUUGUUGUAUCCUUGCUGCCGGUUCCUGAAGAGAAGAUGGCGUCCUUUCCCUGGGGCUGCACCAGCGUCCAGUCUGUGAGCUACAAAUGAGGCACCGCGUUUGUAUCCUCCAUGAAAUUGCCAUGGGAUCACAACUUGGCCACUUGUGAGGGAACUUGCUACAACUUGGGGCCAGUCGGUGUCGCUGCAGGAGCCGGAUGUGUGCACGGGAACGGCAAGAGCAGGGGUGGGUGGGGUCAAAGAUGAAAAUAAAGAAGCACGUGGGUUUAUAAUCUUUGACUUUGUGUAGACUGUUUGUUUUAGCAGCUGAUCCUAUCAUACGGCGGCAUAUUUAAAUACUUUGAAUACUGAUACAAAGGAGUUGCUAUCCUUCGGAGAGAGACGUAUUGGAGGCCGAGCUCCAUGGAGGCCUUUAUUUUUGAAAAAUUGAAAUUCAAACUUUUAUGCCUCAAAAAAUUCUGAAAAAAAUAUUCGUGUAUGUAAGGAUGUAACCCACAUGUGUGUAAAAGUUCAUAAUGAAAUACCUUGAGUUGUGACUGGUAAAAAAAGACAAAUUCAUGGCCUGGAUGGAUGAAUA